GCUGGGUGUGGUGGCGCACGCCUGUAAUCCCAGCUACUCAGGAGGCUGAGGCAGGAGAAUUGCUUGAACCCAGGAGGCGGAGGUUGCAGUGAGCUGAGAUCACGCCACUGCACUCCAGCCUGGGCAACAGAGCAAGACUCCGUCUCAA
ensembl:misc_RNA Metazoa_SRP Metazoan signal recognition particle RNA